rnacentral:rRNA from 1 species
AUACGGAGGAUCCGAGCGUUAUCCGGAUUUAUUGGGUCUAAAGGGUGCGCAGGCGGCCAUUUAAGUCAGCGGUUAAAUCGUGGGGCUCAACCCCAUUCUGCCGUUGAUACUGGGUGGAUUGAUUGCGGUCGAGGUUGGCGGAAUUCGUUGUGUAGCGGUGAAAUGCAUAGAUAUGACGAAGAACACCGCUUGCGUAGGCAGCUGACCAGACCGCAAAUGACGCUCAUGCACGAAAGUGCGGGGAUCGAGCAGGAUUAGAUACCCUGGUAGUCCGCACAGUAAACGAUGAAUACUUGUUUUCGGCGAUAGAAUGUCGGAGGCAAAGCGAAAGCGAUAAGUAUUCCACCUGGGGAGUACGCCGGCAACGGUGAAACUCAAAUGAAUUGACGGGG